AUGCAGGGUAGCAAAGCAAUCCAGCUAGGCUAUAUCUCCAUAUUCCUCUUUCGCUCCCUCCGCCGCCGUGCUAAGCCGGCCAAACAGCUGGAAGGCAGGUGGCUUGCUUUAUGGAAAUGAUGGGUGGACUCAUAAGAUGAUUCAUGAAGAAGUAAGUAACUUGAGGAACUUCCAUUGCCAAUGCUGUGCUUGAAGAGAGCCUAAUUAAAGCUGAGGUAUGGGAGUGAAGGUUAAAAGAAAAAUAGAAAUCAUUGAAAGUUGCUGCUGCUCUUAUGGUGUUGAGUAUCAUAUUUUUAUACAUCUAUUAUUGUCCUCUCUUUCAAAAGAGAUAACCUUCAUCAAAGUUUGUACACUUUGCUUC